rnacentral:rRNA from 1 species
CCUACGGGUGGCACCAGUGGGGAAUAUUGCACAAUGGGCGCAAGCCUGAUGCAGCCAUGCCGCGUGUGUGAAGAAGGCCUUCGGGUUGUAAAGCACUUUCAGCGGGGAGGAAGGCGCCAAGGUUAAUAACCUUGGCGAUUGACGUUACCCGCAGAAGAAGCACCGGCUAACUCCGUGCCAGCAGCCGCGGUAAUACGGAGGGUGCAAGCGUUAAUCGGAAUUACUGGGCGUAAAGCGCACGCAGGCGGUCUGUCAAGUCGGAUGUGAAAUCCCCGGGCUCAACCUGGGAACUGCAUUCGAAACUGGCAGGCUAGAGUCUUGUAGAGGGGGGUAGAAUUCCAGGUGUAGCAGUGAAAUGCGUAGAGAUCUGGAGGAAUACCGGUGGCGAAGGCGGCCCCCUGGACAAAGACUGACGCUCAGGUGCGGAAGCGUGGGGAGCAAACAGGAUUAGAUACCCCAGUAGUC